rnacentral:rRNA from 1 species
CCUGUACUUCUUACAAUUGCGAUGGGGGGACGGAGAAGGCUAGGUGGGCCUGGCGACGGUUGUCCAGGUUCAAGUACGUAGGCGGGUGGUUUAGGUAAAUCCGGACCGCUACUAACGCUGAGAUACGAUGUCGAGCUACUACGGUAGUGAAGUCAUUGAUGCCAUGCUUCCAGGAAAAGCCUCUAAGCUUCAGAUUGUAAGGAAUCGUACCCCAAACCGACACAGGUGGUCGGGUAGAGAAUACCAAGGCGCUUGAGAGAACUCGGGUGAAGGAACUAGGCAAAAUGGUACCGUAACUUCGGGAGAAGGUACGCUCUUAUCAGUGAAGUCCCUUGCGGAUGGAGCAGACGAGAGUCGCAGAUACCAGGUGGCUGCAACUGUUUAUUAAAAACACAGCACUGUGCAAAAUCGUAAGAUGACGUAUACGGUGUGACGCCUGCCCGGUGCCGGAAGGUUAAUUGAUGGGGUUAGACUUCGGUCGAAGCUCUUGAUCGAAGCCCCGGUAAACGGCGGCCGUAACUAUAACGGUCCUAAGGUAGCGAAAUUCCUUGUCGGGUAAGUUCCGACCUGCACGAAUGGCGUAAUGAUGGCCACGCUGUCUCCACCCGAGACUCAGUGAAAUUGAAAUCGCUGUGAAGAUGCAGUGUACCCGCGGCUAGACGGAAAGACCCCGUGAACCUUUACUACAGCUUGGCACUGAACAUUGAACCUACAUGUGUAGGAUAGGUGGGAGACUUUGAAACCGCGUCGCUAGAUGUGGUGGAGUCGUCCUUGAAAUACCACCCUUGUAGUUUUGAUGUUCUAACGUUGGUCCCUGAAUCGGGAUUACGGACAGUGCCUGGUGGGUAGUUUGACUGGGGCGGUCUCCUCCCAAAGAGUAACGGAGGAGCACGAAGGUGGGCUAAACACGGUUGGACAUCGUGUGGUUAGUGCAAUGGCAUAAGCCCGCUUGACUGCGAGAAUGACAAUUCGAGCAGGUGCGAAAGCAGGUCAUAGUGAUCCGGUGGUUCUGAAUGGAAGGGCCAUCGCUCAACGGAUAAAAGGUACUCCGGGGAUAACAGGCUGAUACCGCCCAAGAGUUCAUAUCGACGGCGGUGUUUGGCACCUCGAUGUCGGCUCAUCACAUCCUGGGGCUGAAGUCGGUCCCAAGGGUAUGGCUGUUCGCCAUUUAAAGUGGUACGCGAGCUGGGUUUAGAACGUCGUGAGACAGUUCGGUCCCUAUCUGCCGUGGGCGUUGGAAAAUUGAAAGGGGCUGCUCCUAGUACGAGAGGACCGGAGUGGACGAACCUCUGGUGUUCGGGUUGUCAUGCCAAUGGCAUUGCCCGGUAGCUAAGUUCGGAAUCGAUAACCGCUGAAAGCAUCUAAGCGGGAAGCGAGCCUUGAGAUGAGUUUUCCCUG